rnacentral:rRNA from 1 species
UACCAGCACCCCGAGUGGUCGGGACGUUUAUUGGGCCUAAAGCAUCCGUAGCCGGUUCUACAAGUCUUCCGUUAAAUCCAGCUGCUUAACAGAUGGGCUGCGGAAGAUACUAUGGAGCUAGGAGGCGGGAGAGGCAAGCGGUACUCGAUGGGUAGGGGUAAAAUCCGUUGAUCCAUUGAAGACCACCAGUGGCGAAGGCGGCUUGCCAGAACGCGCUCGACGGUG